rfam:Schistosoma rodhaini strain Burundi genome assembly, scaffold: SROB_scaffold0003326
AUUCAUCUGACGAUUCCCAAAUAGGAAAAAACGCUCGUCCUGGAU